GUAACGUUUGAUCCUCAGAGGGUUUCUGCAGACAUGGAGCUUCUACCACUUCUGUUUCUGAGCUUCUGUUUCCUGACUUUGUCCGGACCGACGUUUGGUGCUGAAUCCGUGACAUCUGUGAUUGUGAAAGAAGAUGAUGAUGCCAUUUUGCCCUGUUCCUCGGCACCAAUGAGAACAUUGAGUCAAUGGUGUUUGACUGGAAGAAGGAAGAAACAGUCCAGGUGUUCGUGUAUAAUAAGGGUGCCCAUUACAAUGAUCAAAAUGAGCAGUUCAAAAGUCGAGUCACACAUUUUCCAGAAGAGCUGAAGCACGGCAAUGCCUCCAUAAGAAUAAAAGAAACUAAGCGGGAGGACAAAGGAAACUACACCUGUUUUUUUCCAAACCGCAGUAAGACAUUCAAAGUUGAGCUUGUUGUUGGUGCAGCUCCAAAGCCAUAUGUCAAAUUGCUUAAGGAAAAAGGUUUGCUGGAGUGUGAAGUUCCAGGGGCUUAUCCUAAACCUACAGUAGAGUGGCAGGACAGCGAUAACAAAACACUUUUUUUCUAAGACGUUGCAAGACAUAGAAGAUAAAAAUCGCUUUUACAUCACCAUCCAAACUAGUGUGACUAAGCCCGGCUGCUACCGCUGUGUAGCAACACAGAUGGCCAUAUGGCAUCAGAUUCCUUCAGAGACCUGUGUCCCUGAUGAACCAUGGAAGAUUGUAGCUGUUGUUGCUAUUGUUCUUGCUGUUGUUCUUCCUGUUGUAGUUGGGAUUCUUGUCUGGUGUUACAUCAAGAAUAAAAAAGUAAGUUUAAUAAGUCCUCUGAACCCUCAGCCCAGGAACUGAAACCCAACGCUGAUCAAAAUGAACCUGUGUGAAGUACGGUGUGUGUUGCUUAUGUGUUUGUUUUAUGAGAACCAAAUUAAGUUUUGGAGCACAGCAGCUUGGACAUGUUGGAUUAUUUUUGAUAUUUUCAGCAGUUUAAAAGUUCAGAACAGAUUUUAACUCUGUGGUUUAGCACAUGGUUAAAAGUCAGGAUGGAGGGAUGUAGUUUCUGCUGCAUUUGUGCAAAAGAAAUAUUUGCUGUUCAGUCACCACAGUAAUUUUCUAAUACUUUGAUCAUAAUCACUUCCCAUAUAUCUGUGUAAAAAAUAAAAGUAUAAAUGUUUAUCUCAAAGUCCUCAGUACUUGAUAAAAAAUACUUUCAAAUACCCUCUAACACCAUCUUUCAACACUCGGCAUUUGGGGUUUUUUUUCUAUUUGAAUGAAAACAGAUGCAGCGCAUCAAUGUUUUUCUUAAUUCCACAUAAUCGUGUUUUGUUUUUUGUUUGUUUUCUGUAUGAACUGUCAUCCUGUCACCUGAAAUAUGUUUAAAAUAUUAAAUUACUGUUGUAUUUAUUCCAUGAGAGAUCUGAGGUCAUUGUCCUGUGCUUUCUUCUUUCUGCAGCAGUUUAAUAGGACGGAGUAGAGAAAUGGCUC
ensembl:lncRNA